rnacentral:rRNA from 1 species
AGCAGCCGCGGUAAUUCCAGCUCCAAUAGCGUAUAUUAAAGUUGCUGCAGUUAAAAAGCUCGUAGUUGAAUUUCGGGACCGAUAUAUCGGUCGUGCCUCGGUACGUACUGGUAUUUUCGGUUUCUACCUUCUGACGAACCUUGAUGUCAUUAAUUUGGUGUCUUGGGAAAUCAGGACUGUUACUUUGAAAAAAUUAGAGUGUUUAAAGCAGGCUCACGCUUGAAUACAUUAGCAUGGAAUAAUGAAAUAGGACGUUUGAUUCUAUUUUGUUGGUUUCUAGGAUCGACGUAAUGAUUAAUAGGGAUAGUUGGGGGCAUUAGUAUUCAAUUGUCAGAGGUGAAAUUCUUGGAUUUAUUGAAGACUAACUACUGCGAAAGCAUUUGCCAAGGAUGUUUUCAUUAAUCAAGAACGAAAGUUAGGGGAUCGAAGACGAUCAGAUACCGUCGUAGUCUUAACCAUAAACUAUGCCGACUAGGGAUCGGAUGAUGUUAAUUUUUUUAAUGACUCAUUCGGCGCCUUA